GACGAACGCUGGCGGCGUGCUUAACACAUGCAAGUCGAACGGAAAGGCCCUGCUUUUGUGGGGUGCUCGAGUGGCGAACGGGUGAGUAACACGUGAGUAACCUGCCCUUGACUUUGGGAUAACUUCACGAAACUGGGGCUAAUACCGGAUAGGAGCUCCUGCUGCAUGGUGGGGGUUGGAAAGUUUCGGCGGUUGGGGAUGGACUCGCGGCUUAUCAGCUUGUUGGCGGGGUAGUGGCUUACCAAGGCUUUGACGGGUAGCCGGCCUGAGAGGGUGACCGGCCACAUUGGGACUGAGAUACGGCCCAGACUCCUACGGGAGGCAGCAGUGGGGAAUAUUGCACAAUGGGCGGAAGCCUGAUGCAGCAACGCCGCGUGCGGGAUGACGGCCUUCGGGUUGUAAACCGCUUUCGCCUGUGACGAAGCGUGAGUGACGGUAAUGGGUAAAGAAGCACCGGCUAACUACGUG
rnacentral:rRNA from 1 species